ensembl:lncRNA
AAGUGAUAAAAAAUUCAACUCUUCUAAGGAAGGUAAGUGAAUCACACUCCGCUCAAAGGGUGGAAUAAAUUACAAAGGAAAAAGACACAAAGAGAAAGGUAAACCAGGGAGAUGAGAUGGUUUGUAGCUCUGGAAGAUGGUGGUGUAACUGUAUUCUUCAGCCACCACCCCCCAUUUAAUAUUUGAAUUUUAAGAAGGUUAAACUAGAAUAGUUGGGGAAUAAUUCACUGACCGUUGACCAAUGACUUAGAAUGUUUAAAAAGGAACCCCAAUGGGAUCCCUGUAUUUGAUGCCGUAGUGGUGGGCCAGUAGAAGAUCCCCACAUCGGGUGGCAUUGGUGAGGCACUUAACGAAUUCUCAUGGUUGCUCUCAUUCUCACACUAACACACCUCUCAAAAGGCCAUUCAUGAGGAAGGGAUGGGGAUUCAGCAAAAACCUGCUCCUGCAGAAAGAAGGAAGCUCAAUGUUCCGUUAGAAGCAUUCAGUUUGUUCGGCAAAGUCCUCAAAGAGGGGAAGAAGAGAGAAGACACUGAGCACUCCGUCCUAGGCAUGGAAAUGGCAAGGCGCCAUAUUUUGUGUAUAAUUCUGUGGUAAAAUCAGUAACAAUUAGCUUAUCAUUCCAUGUGCAUCUGUCCUGGAAAAAAAGAGGAAAACACCUAGAUGCCACAACACUUUCUUUCCUCAAACAACUGGCUCCAUGUUUCCUUUGUUUUUCAGGAAGCGAUGAAGGGUUCAUCAGUGCUGAGGAAGCAAGUGAGAACAGUUCCCAUAAUAAGGAACAUACAUGGAUUUCUUCGCUGAAAAUGAAACUGACUUUGGGAGACUUCCGAGGUUUACAAAAUGCAAACAAAAAAGUAUUGGAAAAAUGUCAAGAUGACUACAAAGCAGUCUCGGGUGAGUGUUGCUUUCCCGUUGCAUCUUUACUCCAAAUGACUGAGGCAGGAAUGGGCAUGAGAUGGUUGAACUGAGACAUGUACAUACAUCUAUAUGUCCAAGAGUUUAGGCCAAGGACAGGCUUUUUUUGAAACAGAGCAAAAUCAUCCAGGAAGGCUCUAUGACUUGUGGAAACUGCCCUCUCAUCAUCUCUAGAAGGGCAGUGGAGAAACACAGUCCUCCAGGGUCUCCUGGGGUUCCUAUGCAGCCCCCUGGCCUUCCAUGUUUGCCUAUCUCUGAUUGAAGGGCUCUCACUUGGUCAUAGUAUUUCUGGGCAAUUGCGUUCCACUAGUGUAUUUCAGAGCCAGUGUGGAGUAGUGAUGUGAACAUUAGAUUAGGACUAUGAAAACCAGGGUUUUACGUCCUCACUCAGCCAUUCACACAAAGUGUGAGAACCUAUCCACCAUAGAUGUGUGGGUUCUACUUUAUAAAUAUCAGAAGCUGAAAGAGCAUCCACGGUGCUUUAUAUGAAAACAAAGAAGGAGCAAAAUGGCAACUGCCAACAAGCCACAUGUAAUUGAAUGCAUUUGACCAGUUUUUAUGGAAUAUAAUCACAAAGUGAUCUGAAACAUGCACGAGUUGUUGUACUCACUCAAUAACAGGGAUCUUGAUUUUGGAAGGCAUAUGCCUUUGCAGAUUAGCUCUUUUAGAGCUAUUUAAGGAUAAAUUUAAUUACAUUUCAACUCUGAGAAGCAUAUUAUUUCAGAGCUUCCUUGAUUGCAUGGUGUAAAUGAAUCAAAGAAAUAACUGGAUAAAUAAAAUACUGUUUCUUCUAAGUGAAGAAAAUUAAUUCAAUCAAGUACACUUGCUUUUUGGAGCAGAACCUGAGAU